rnacentral:rRNA from 1 species
AUUGAACGCUGGCGGCAGGCCUAACACAUGCAAGUCGAACGAGUGGCGGACGGGUGAGUAAUGUCUGGGAACCUGCCUGAUGGAGGGGGAUACCUACUGGAAACGGUAGCUAAUACCGCAUACCAUCAGAUGUGCCCAGAUGGGAUUAGCUAGUUGGUGGGGUAAUGGCUCACCAAGGCGACGAUCCCUAGCUGGUCUGAGAGGAUGACCAGCAACAAUGAAACAGAGACACGGUCCAGACUCCUACGGGAGGCAGCAGUGGGGAAUAUUGCACAAGGGGCGCAAGCCUGAUACAGCCAUGCCGCGUGUGUGAAGAAGGCCUUCGGGUUGUAAAGUACUUUCAGCGGGGAGGCGUUACCAGCAGAAGAAGCACCGGCUAACUCCGUGCCAGCAGCCGCGGUAAUUC